GUUUAAAGUAUAUAUUUGGAAAGCGCCGUGAAAGUCGGCGGAACUGCCGGUACUGUUAUAUCCAGAAAACAAAUAUAUAU
rnacentral:ncRNA from 2 species